GCCACUAUAGUUAAACGGUAUAACUGCUGAUUUGUAAUCAGCUAUUCGGGGUUCGAUUCCUCGUAGUGGCUCUA
rnacentral:tRNA from 1 species